UACGUAGGGGGCCAGCGUUGUCCGGAUUCAUUGGGCGUAAAGCGCGUGUAGGCGGCCAGGUAGGUCCGAUGUGAAAUCUGGAGGCUCAACCUCCAGCGGUCAUUGGAAACCAUCUGGCUAGAGUCCGGAAGAGGAGAGUGGAAUUCCUGGUGUAGCGGUGAAAUGCGCAGAUAUCAGGAAGAACACCAAUGGCGAAGGCAGCUCUCUGGGACAGUACUGACGCUGAGGAGCGAAAGCGUGGGGAGCGAACAGG
rnacentral:rRNA from 1 species